AAAGUCAUGACACCAAGAACAUCAGCAACAUGAUGCCAGGCUAACCAAAGCCAGAGCUUCAUCAGUGAAGACUAGUGAGCUAAACAUCUGGAAUUGACUGUGCAGUGGGAACUUUUAAAGAAGAGCAUGGGGACCUCAGGCCCUCACCUUACAAGCCCCUCUUCUCUUCCAGGUUUCCAAAAUGCCUUUCCAGGCUAGAACCCAGGUUGUGGUCUGCUGGCCGGACACAACAGGGAGGAAGUGUGCAAAGACGGCGGUCCAGUUCAUUACAAGUAUGUAGGAAUAACAAACAGCUCAAGAGUGUCUGUGGUGUCACUGUGAACUCAGCAACAGGUCAAGAAGGAGACAUCUUUUUAUCCUUUCAAAGUCUCUGCUUUUCUCUAGUCUCUGGUGUCAGAGGGUCCAAAGGACAUUGGCGUAAAGAUGAAGGAGGGAAGGCCCACUGCAGAUGCCUCAGAAACAAACUGGACAUCGCAAGAGAAGAGGACUCAGAGCAAGAGAGAACAGGUGUGGGGGAAUGGCCUCAAUCCUGAAAGACAUCUGUGUGGGCAAGCAGUUCCCACCGUGCUCACAGCUCAACAGCUCUGCCAGGGACAGCAACCUUGAGACUCCAAAGGUUAAGAAGAACCCAGCAGAGGAAAGCAAAUAAAAUAUUUACUCUUAGCGAGGAAAACUCUA
rnacentral:lncRNA from 1 species